CCUACGGGGGGCAGCAGUGAGGAAUAUUGGUCAAUGGGCGCGAGCCUGAACCAGCCAAGUAGCGUGAAGGAUGACUGCCCUACGGGUUGUAAACCUCUUUUAUAAAGGAAUAAAGCGAGGCACGUGUGCCUUUUUGUAAGUACUUUAUGAAUAAGGAUCGGCUAACUCCGUGCCAGCAGCCGCGGUAAUACGGAGGAUCCGAGCGUUAUCCGGAUUUAUUGGGUUUAAAGGGAGCGUAGAUGGGUUGUUAAGUCAGAGGGGAAAAUUUGCGGCUCAACCGUCAAAUUGCAAUUGAUACUGGCAGUCUUGAGUACAGGUGAGGUAGGCGGAAUGCGUGGUGUAGCGGUGAAAUGCAUAGAUAUCACGAAGAACUCCGAUUGCGAAGGCAGCUUACUAGACUGCCACUGACAUUGAUGCUCGAAAGUGUGGGUAUCAAACAGGAUUAGAUACCCGAGUAGUC
rnacentral:rRNA from 1 species